GGAAGCUUCCUAAAUCAAGACUUUAGUAAGCCCCACCAAUGGGUAGGAAAAAAGAGAAGGUCUUCCAUUAUAUCCCAAAUUCUUUCAUUCUAUUCUUCCAUAUCAAGUAAUAUGCCUUUACACUGUCUGAUACUCGCAAAGGUGAAACUGAUAGGGCUUUCAAAAUGUCACACGUUUACUGCUACUCCAAUUCUUGCCACCUUAAUUUGGCCAUUCUUUUUCAAACUACUACUGAGUUUGAGACCAAUAAACAACAUUCUUGAAGCCAUGGCACAAGAUUCUAUCCUUUUUGUCUUUCAGUUGGGCCAAAUUGUCGUGUCUCAGGCCUCCAGUAGACAAAGAUGGCAACGAAUCCUCCGUUUGGCUCAAGAAAGGAUGGCUAUGGCAUUGGUCCAACAAUCCUACGAUGAUAGCUUACAUACCCUUUCCAUGGUUGCACUUUAAAGUUAAAGGUCUCUAACCUAGUAAUAGGUAUAAAGGCAAAUAAAUAAAUAAGAUUAAUAACAUUUAAUAAAAAAAAAUAAUUAAGAACCGAGUUUUGGGGGUUCUUGUAACUAUUUUCAAAAGGAAGGACUGAAUUUGGCAGCUUUGAAACUUGUUGGUGCAAACAUAUUUGUUGUGGGGGUAGAAACUGUCAUUUUGGAAAUCUAGGGAGUACUUUUUGAAAAUUUCGGAAUUCAUCUCUUAUCUGGACGACUGGACGAGAUCAAGAUCGGGAGGCAUCUUGGAACGAUUCCUUCUCCUAUUUCGAUCGAUGGUGCACGUCUUUCAUCCGACCAUAGCCCUCCCUUCGUUUUCUCGAUGUCAUUCCACAACACAACUACCAUAAUUGUCGUCACCUAGUGCCACCACCAUUGAAAUAGUCGUACGCUGCCGCUGUUGCCACAAGGUUGUCCUUGGAUUUGGUUUUAUAUUGUUAAGCAAUGUACUUUGGGUAGUGAUGUUUCGAACAACAUUUUUGGCUUCUUGGUGUGCUUUGGGUGUCAAUUGAAUGCAACGUACUUUGGAUUUUUCAUUUGUAACAACAUACUUUGGGUAUGGUUUUUCAUCAGUUACCCAUAUAUCAUCAUACUUUUGAUUUUUCGUUUGUAACAACAUACUUUGGGAUAUGGUUUGAAGUGUAUGUGGUCAUUUUGACUUCAAUGGAAUGUUGCUACUGUUAAGAAA